rnacentral:rRNA from 1 species
AUUGAACGCUGGCGGCAUGCCUUACACAUGCAAGUCGAACGGCAGCACGGGAGCAAUCCUGGUGGCGAGUGGCGAACGGGUGAGUAAUACAUCGGAACGUGCCCAGUAGUGGGGGAUAACCCGGCGAAAGCCGGACUAAUACCGCAUACGACCUACGGGUGAAAGCAGGGGAUCGCAAGACCUUGCGCUAUUGGAGCGGCCGAUGGCAGAUUAGCUAGNGGUGGGGUAAAGGCCUACCAAGGCGACGAUCUGUAGCUGGUCUGAGAGGACGACCAGCCACACUGGGACUGAGACACGGCCCAGACUCCUACGGGAGGCAGCAGUGGGGAAUUUUGGACAAUGGGCGCAAGCCUGAUCCAGCCAUGCCGCGUGCGGGAAGAAGGCCUCGG